AUUGAACGCUGGCGGCAGGCCUAACACAUGCAAGUCGAGCGGCAGCGGAAAGUAGCUUGCUACUUUGCCGGCGAGCGGCGGACGGGUGAGUAAUGUCUGGGAAACUGCCUGAUGGAGGGGGAUAACUACUGGAAACGGUAGCUAAUACCGCAUGACCUCGAAAGAGCAAAGUGGGGGAUCUUCGGACCUCACGCCAUCGGAUGUGCCCAGAUGGGAUUAGCUAGUAGGUGAGGUAAUGGCUCACCUAGGCGACGAUCCCUAGCUGGUCUGAGAGGAUGACCAGCCACACUGGAACUGAGACACGGUCCAGACUCCUACGGGAGGCAGCAGAGGGGAAUAUUGCACAAUGGGCGCAAGCCUGAUGCAGCCAUGCCGCGUGUGUGAAGAAGGCCUUAGGGUUGUAAAGCACUUUCAGCGAGGAGGAAGGCAUCAUACUUAAUACGUGUGGUGAUUGACGUUACUCGCAGAAGAAGCACCGGCUAACUCCGUGCCAGCAGCCGCGGUAAUACGGAGGGUGCAAGCGUUAAUCGGAAUUACUGGGCGUAAAGCGCACGCAGGCGGUUUGUUAAGUCAGAUGUGAAAUCCCCGCGCUUAACGUGGGAACUGCAUUUGAAACUGGCAAGCUAGAGUCUUGUAGAGGGGGGUAGAAUUCCAGGUGUAGCGGUGAAAUGCGUAGAGAUCUGGAGGAAUACCGGUGGCGAAGGCGGCCCCCUGGACAAGACUGACGCUCAGGUGCGAAAGCGUGGGGAGCAAACAGG
rnacentral:rRNA from 1 species